rnacentral:rRNA from 1 species
GGGUUGUGAGGUUAAGCGACUAAGCGUACACGGUGGAUGCCCUGGCAGUCAGAGGCGAUGAAGGACGUGCUAAUCUGCGAUAAGCGUCGGUAAGGUGAUAUGAACCGUUAUAACCGGCGAUUUCCGAAUGGGGAAACCCAGUGUGUUUCGACACACUAUCAUUAACUGAAUCCAUAGGUUAAUGAGGCGAACCGGGGGAACUGAAACAUCUAAGUACCCCGAGGAAAAGAAAUCAACCGAGAUUCCCCCAGUAGCGGCGAGCGAACGGGGAGCAGCCCAGAGCCUGAAUCAGUGUGUGUGUUAGUGGAAGCGUCUGGAAAGGCGCGCGAUACAGGGUGACAGCCCCGUACACAAAAAUGCACAUACUGUGAGCUCGAUGAGUAGGGCGGGACACGUGGUAUCCUGUCUGAAUAUGGGGGGACCAUCCUCCAAGGCUAAAUACUCCUGACUGACCGAUAGUGAACCAGUACCGUGAGGGAAAGGCGAAAAGAACCCCGGCGAGGGGAGUGAAAAAGAACCUGAAACCGUGUACGUACAAGCAGUGGGAGCACGCUUCGGCGUGUGACUGCGUACCUUUUGUAUAAUGGGUCAGCGACUUAUAUUCUGUAGCAAGGUUAACCGAAUAGGGGAGCCGAAGGGAAACCGAGUCUUAACUGGGCGUUAAGUUGCAGGGUAUAGACCCGAAACCCGGUGAUCUAGCCAUGGGCAGGUUGAAGGUUGGGUAACACUAACUGGAGGACCGAACCGACUAAUGUUGAAAAAUUAGCGGAUGACUUGUGGCUGGGGGUGAAAGGCCAAUCAAACCGGGAGAUAGCUGGUUCUCCCCGAAAGCUAUUUAGGUAGCGCCUCGUGAAUUCAUCUCCGGGGGUAGAGCACUGUUUCGGCAAGGGGGUCAUCCCGACUUACCAACCCGAUGCAAACUGCGAAUACCGGAGAAUGUUAUCACGGGAGACACACGGCGGGUGCUAACGUCCGUCGUGAAGAGGGAAACAACCCAGACCGCCAGCUAAGGUCCCAAAGUCAUGGUUAAGUGGGAAACGAUGUGGGAAGGCCCAGACAGCCAGGAUGUUGGCUUAGAAGCAGCCAUCAUUUAAAGAAAGCGUAAUAGCUCACUGGUCGAGUCGGCCUGCGCGGAAGAUGUAACGGGGCUAAACCAUGCACCGAAGCUGCGGCAGCGACACUAUGUGUUGUUGGGUAGGGGAGCGUUCUGUAAGCCUGUGAAGGUGUGCUGUGAGGCAUGCUGGAGGUAUCAGAAGUGCGAAUGCUGACAUAAGUAACGAUAAAGCGGGUGAAAAGCCCGCUCGCCGGAAGAC